UACGGAGGGUGCAAACGUUGCUCGGAAUCAUUGGGCGUAAAGCGCACGUAGGCGGCCUGUUAAGUCGGGUGUGAAAGCCCCGGGCUCAACCUGGGAAUUGCAUUCGAGACUGCAUUGCUGGAGUACGGAAGAGGAGGGCGGAAUUCCCGGUGUAGCGGUGAAAUGCGUAGAUAUCGGGAGGAACAUCAGUGGCGAAGGCGGCCCUCUGGUCCAGUACUGACACUCAAGUGCGAAAGCGUGGGGAGCAAACAGG
rnacentral:rRNA from 1 species